AGGUUCUUUCUGUGGCAUGUUUUCAUGCUUGGGGGGAAUAAGACUUGGAUGUCUAAUACAGCUAAUACAUUGGUUAGCAUCACAGCUUGUCUGUAAGGAUUGAAGCUGGGAAUGGCCACUGGAGCUGACUUUUAUGGUAUAUGUGGCUGCAUAAUAUGAUUGUGUGAUUUAACUGUAACAGUAAAGAAUGUAAUUCAGACAAUUUUUGUGUACUUUUGAGAAAAUGUUUAAUUUUUUACAAAAAAAAAAAAAAAAAGAUGUGUAAAGAUCUUCCAUUUUCAACAAAAUUAGAAGUUGUAGGUUAACUUAUAUUUGAAAUUUUAAACUUUCUCUUUCUUUUUUUCCUUUAAAACACUUCCAGUAUGUUAAGAAUGGAUAAUCUAAAAAAAAAAAAAGAAAAAAAAAAGAAAAAAAGACAAAUGUUACUUUAUUAAAAUGUAUUUUUUGGGUUUCCCGAAUCGUUUGGUAUAUAACUUUUGUGUGUUUUUAUUUUUUGCAUAAUUUAUAUUUAACUAUAUUUUUUGUUUUUUGUUAGAAAUAGCAAGGAUGUGGAGUCCUAACAGGGUGAAAUUUAGGUCAAGGGGAGGUAAUUUAUUAUAUCUCUGUUAAACUCCACAUACUUGAAAUUCUUUCUAUUUUUACUUGGAUAUUCAUGUUUAUAUAAAAAAAUAUGUAUCAGAUGUAUUCUAUCCAAUAAAGACUAUUAUUUAGAGCUCUGUAAUAAAAAAAAAUGUAACCAGAGCUCAAGAUAAUAGAUAUUCCGGGUGCGAGAAAUCAUGGAUCACUAAAAAUGAUUUGAUGAAAUUUUCAAAAAGGAAAUCACUUCAAAGCACAUCUGAUAUUUUUUUUAUGUAUAUAACUGUAUUGCUAAAAAAAGAAUUAAGAUAUUGAGGACAGUCACCUUGGCAGCCAGGAAAGCAGCUCUUAGGAAGAUGGUCAAUUAAAUCUCCAACCAAGUCUGAGGCUUUACCAAGAAAAGGUUGAGGUUGUCAUAAUGUUUUCAUGAUGUUGGGAGUAAGACUUGGAUAUCUGAUACUGUUAACAUGUUGGUUAUCAUCAGGUUUCCAUUGGGUUACUUGCUGUGAUAGUAAAUAAUAGCUAUUUUAAGUGUUCUUGUUGUUGCUGCCUUCUAUGGUAAAAUCCUUGGACAACAAUCCUGCAAACCAUCAGAUGAACUGUUGCUGUCUUUUGAAAUAAAAUCUGUAGACGUUAGUCUUAUAAGCAGAAUUAUUUGUAAAUACAUUUUGUUUUUAAUGCUGUAUUAUUCAAAUUCUAAAUAGUUUUUUCAUUAUUUUUACUUGCAUUUAAUUUUUUUAUUGUGAUUGAUGAAAAAUAAAACUGAAAUUAUUGUUAUUUGAGGGGUUUUAAUGGUAUGCCAUAGUGUUUCACAAAGUACCAUCAUUUUACAUAAAGUUUACAUAUAUUUUUUAAGUUAUUAAGUCUUACAACUGCUUUGUGAAAUGAAUUAUGCCGGUAAAAAACUAAUAAAGUAGGACUUUGAUGGCCAAACCCUAAAGGUAAUAUAUAAAAAAUCCUUGUUAAUCAAUUCAAGUUUUUUUAUGAAAUAUAAACGUAAUGACUGCAAAUAGAAAUGUUUGGUUAGUUAGUUGGGUUUGACUUUACUUUCUGUACAUUUGUACAAAAUUAUAAUGGCUGUCAGUUUUAUUUAUUGGUUAAAUUGUUUAUAUAUUAUAAAUGCAUUAUUCAGCAUCUGAGGCCACUCAAGUGAAAAUAAUUAGUUUUUACAGUU